CAUCCCCCACACCACGCACUGCAUAGCGGCGCCGGCGCCAUUACUCACUGACUGCUUGGCUGUAAUUUAAGAUAAUUAAAGAUAGUUCGAAAUGUAAAAUAAAGAAAGUAAUCAGACAGCCUCAGAUGUUGAUGCAAUGGAGUAGAAAUGGGCAGACCCCACCUUCCAGAAACAAGAGGUUGCUGUGGUGGCAGAAAUUGGAGGGAGUACUGUGGAUGAAGCCACAAGAAGAAUGAUGGCCUUCCUUUUGGACCACCAUUUAUCAAGAGAGU